rnacentral:rRNA from 1 species
AGGAGGAUCAUUCGCAAUGGGCGAAAGCCUGACGGUGCGACGCCGCGUGAGGGAUGAAGGCCUUCGGGUUGUAAACCUCUGUCAGGAGUUAUGAAUGGCGGGUGUAAUAACAUUGCAUCCGCGUGACAAAAGCUCCAAAGGAAGCCACGGCUAACUACGUGCCAGCAGCCGCGGUAAUACGUAGGUGGCUAGCGUUACUCGGAAUCACUGGGCAUAAAGGGCGUGUAGGCGGGCGCGUAAGUCCGGUGUGAAAUCCCCCGGCUCAACCGGGGAAGGCCAUUGGAUACUGCGUGUCUUGAGUGCGGGAGGGGAGAGUGGAACUCUUGGUGGAGCGGUGAAAUGCGUAGAUAUCAAGAGGAACGCCGGUGGCGAAAGCGGCUCUCUGGCCCGUUACUGACGCUGAGGCGCGAAAGCUAGGGGAGCAAACGGG